UAUUGCGCAAUGGAGGAAACUCUGACGCAGUGACGCCGCGUGCGGGACGAAGGCCCUCGGGUCGUAAACCGCUUUCAGCAGGGAAGACCACGCCGGUACCUGCAGAAGAAGCUCCGGCUAACUACGUGCCAGCAGCCGCGGUAAUACGUAGGGGGCGAGCGUUAUCCGGAUUCAUUGGGCGUAAAGCGCGCGUAGGCGGCCGCCUAAGCGGAACCUCUAACCCCGGGGCUCAACCUCGGGCCGGGUUCCGGACUGGGCGGCUCGAGUGCGGUAGAGGAGAGCGGAAUUCCCGGUGUAGCGGUGGAAUGCGCAGAUAUCGGGAAGAACACCGAUGGCGAAGGCAGCUCUCUGGGCCGUCACUGACGCUGAGGCGCGAAAGCUGGGGGAGCGAACAGG
rnacentral:rRNA from 1 species